AUUGAACGCUGGCGGCAUGCCUUACACAUGCAAGUCGAACGGCAGCACGGGAGCAAUCCUGGUGGCGAGUGGCGAACGGGUGAGUAAUGUAUCGGAACGUACCUUUCAGUGGGGGAUAACGUAGCGAAAGUUACGCUAAUACCGCAUAUUCUGUGAGCAGGAAAGCAGGGGAUCGCAAGACCUUGCGCUGAUUGAGCGGCCGAUAUCAGAUUAGCUAGUUGGUGAGGUAAAGGCUCACCAAGGCGACGAUCUGUAGCGGGUCUGAGAGGAUGAUCCGCCACACUGGAACUGAGACACGGUCCAGACUCCUACGGGAGGCAGCAGUGGGGAAUUUUGGACAAUGGGCGCAAGCCUGAUCCAGCCAUGCCGCGUGAGUGAAGAAGGCCUUC
rnacentral:rRNA from 1 species